rnacentral:rRNA from 1 species
GGUCUAGUACAUGCCGAAAUAAGGCGAAACCGCGAAUGGCUCAUUAAAUCAGUUAUGGUUCCUUAGAUCGUUUCUUCCUACUUGGAUAACUGUGGCAAUUCUAGAGCUAAUACAUGCAGUGAGCCUGGAGCCCUUUGGGUAACGGGUGCUUUUAUUAGACCAAGAUCGAUCGGGUUUCGGCCCGUAUUGUGUGGUGACUCUGGAUAACUUUGUGCUGAUCGCAUGGCCACGAGCCGGCGACGUUUCUUUCAAGUGUCUGCCUUAUCAACUUUCGAUGGUAGGUUACUUGCUUACCAUGGUUGUUACGGGUAACGGAGAAUCAGGGUUCGAUUCCGGAGAGGGAGCCUGAGAAACGGCUACCACAUCCAAGGAAGGCAGCAGGCGCGCAAAUUACCCACUCCCGGCACGGGGAGGUAGUGACGAAAAAUAACAAUACGGGACUCUUUUGAGGCCCCGUAAUUGAAAUGAGUACACUCUAAAUCCUUUAACGAGGAUCAAUUGGAGGGCAAGUCUGGCCCCAGCCAGCCA